rnacentral:rRNA from 1 species
AUACGAAGGUCCCAAGCGUUAUUCGGAAUCACUGGGCGUAAAGAGUACGUAGGCGGUUUGGUAAGUCAGGUGUGAAAUCCCGAAGCUCAACUUCGGAACUGCAUCCGAUACUGCCAGACUAGAGUAAUGGAGAGGCAGGUGGAAUUCUCGGUGUAGCAGUGAAAUGCGUGGAUAUCGAGAGGAAGACCAAUGGCGAAGGCAGCCUGCCGGACAUUUACUGACGCUGAGGUACGAAGGCUAGGGGAGCGAAAGGGAUUAGAUACCCCAGUAGUCC